ACCAUCCAUACACGCACAUCACAAUAGAACAGCCAUAUAUGGUAGGCUUACGCUGGCGAUGGGCAAUGGUUUCCUUCUUUUUAUUAGAAACCCCGGUCCUCGCGCGCCUAUCAUUUCAAAUACUGAUUUUAGAGGGAAGAGAUUUGGUAUUCCAAUCCUUAGAUGAGUGUUUUAGUGAGAGAGAGGGUAGCCGGCUUAAUUAAUUUACCUUGAGAUCCGAGAGAACUCUGCUUCUUUCGAUCCCUAGCUUUUCCUCUCCAACCUCAUACAGUGCCCCAUACCUCCAUGAUGUCAAUUGCAAGGUCUUCCGCUUGCCGAUAGUGAGAACUCCACUCUUCCACAGCUUUUCCUCUCCGACUUCACACAGCCCACAACUGCUCCUCCUCGUCAAUCAGGAACCCUUUUGCUCGCUGAUCAACGCUUCCGCUCCGGGAUCAGGGGAGUAUCGUCAAUCGCUAGAUCAUAAAUUUGGAACCCAAGCUGCUGCCCCCAUGUACCUCCUGCAGCAUGAUUACCUCCUCACCAUGCUUCUGCCUCCAAAUCUAACCAAAAGGUAUCGGAUCUCUGAACCAAGUUUUUCUUUCCCUAUAGAGAUGCUUGGAAGGUUCAUCUUUGUUUUGCAACGCAUAGAAGGCUUAGUUUAAAGGGUAUAUACAUUUAGAAGGAUUAAUUGGAGAGAUCUCACCCCCAUAUUAUUUAUGCACAUAUAUUAAGGAUUUUUGUUCAAAUAAAACCGAGUUCUGCAUGACUUGCAAGGAAUUAUGUUACGGUUUGAUAGAUAGAACCGAAAUAUUUUGCUUUUAUUUUGUAUUUUGGGGUAUUUGAUAAGAUAUUCUGUAGGUAUGCUUUUUGUGCUCUGUUUUGUUGCUGGAAGAAAUCUCUGUUUUUGUGCUCACAUGACUUUUCCAUUGAUCCACGUUGAUUCUGCAAAAUUAAAUUGUUACUUCUGUACAAUUUGACUGUUUAUGGGGUUGCUAGAGCCCCAUUGUGAAGUUCUGUAGGGAAUGGAGACAUAAAGCCUAAAACUGAGAAUUUUGGGGAUGUAGAAAAAUAUGAAGAAGAAUUAUAGCAAUUGUUGAAGCAAAUUGCUGCAUCUUUAUGUAAUAUUGUAACAAUGUGGGGAAGUUGGAAGGUUAUAGCAGAACUCGAUCGAUAAUUCAGAACCGGUUGAGCACAAUAAGCUCAUUUUUUAAAUACUCAUUAAUCAAUGCAAUCUAUACAUAGUUUAUUCAUCCAACUUUAGAGUGCAUUUUGCACAUAGCAUGGCUGUUAAUUCUGCAUAUUUAUAUUUUUAUUUAUGCACCAUAUACAAAGCCCAUCCAGCACACUAAUUGUAGCCAGCUUAUGACAUGAGAAGUUUCGACAAUGAUCAAGUUGAAUUGUUUGAAGCCCAAUAUCUUGCUCUGAUAUGUGCAUAUGAUAUUGCCCCCUUUAUAAUAGCUCACACCCUUAAAAUAGAAGAGCAUGAUCUGAAACUAGUACAUUUACAGAAAUCUAGUCUUUUAUUUUUAUGUUUUACCAACAUAUUUCAGUAUUCUUUUUUGAGAAAUGUACAUGUUGCAGCAUUCUUAUGAACCAUAAUUUGCUUGCUAAGAAGUGAUGUUGAUCAAGAUGCACGAAUAAUUAUAAGGGUAGUAUGUAAAAUUAUAUGGGCAGCAUUAUCAAUAGCAAUAUGCUAUCCUCAAAAGGCUACUAUAGAUUUCCUUUUGUCACGCCCUGAACCCGGAGUGCGACAGGCGCUGUAUGUUUGUACGGCGGACCGUACAGGCAGGCAUGGCAAUGGAUCAUAUCAAAGCAAUGACAGAUCCUUAAAAUUUAUUUAAACAUUAAUUUAUUCAAAAAGUUCUUACAGUAGUUUCAAAGUAGCAUGUGGUAAAAAAAAUCUAACUAAUCUAACUAAGAUAUCAACAACCGAAGAAUCUUCAGAAAAUCUAGCGCACACCCGAGUCCUGUGUGAUCAUGCCUCUAGAUCUGAAAAACAGAGAAAAUAUGAUAAUGAGCUACAUUAGCCCAAUAAGCAAUAUAAUACCCCAGAGUGGGGACAAAGUAUGACAGAUAUUUAAUUAAAAUACAAAAUAAUGACUGAAAAAUAAAUCACAAAUAAAUAUAUUUUUUUAAAAAUUUAUUAAGCAUUUUUAUAAAAACUGAUACUAGGAUCCUAACAUCAAUAGGCUAUGGCGACGUAACCCAGUAGCAUGGGUUGCAUAAAGUGCCGAAAACCACUAUUAUUAACCACCGGUGGCAAUGAUAUCCAAAUACCACUAUUUUAAUUACUGGUGGUGCGGUGCUGAAAUUGGUUUCUUACAGAUUAUAAGUUGAUGGCCAAUGAAUAAUUUCCAUUGGCGGGGCCAUAUUAUAGCCAUGCUGAGAAUACAUACAUACAAAAGAGAUAACUUGCCCAGUCAUAUUUUUCAGAUUUCAUAACACAUACAUAAUUUUAAAAUGAUUAUUAAUAUUCCUGACCCAUUUUACUAAGUACAAAACAAAAUAUCAGAAUUUAAUCAACUAAUUAUUAAUUUUACCAAAAAUUUGGAAAAUACACUUUGAAGUAUUAUGUUAUUUAUCCCUUUUUGUUUUAAAUCUCACUUCAGACAAAUGUGUCAAAUACACUUGUUUAAUAUCAUUAAAAUAUUAUUAAUUUUAAUAUCAUUCCAGGAAUCAAAAUUAAACACUACUAUCUCAUGCUUCUAGAUUAGGUUGGUCGGGUGAGAGUGCCCGACUACUCAGGUUAGUUCGAGCCAGAAGGAUUCAAUGGGUCAGAUAAAGAUCAAAAGUAGUCAAAUCUAGCUGGGGCUGAAGCAAUGGUUGUGUGGAGUGAUUGAUUAUAACCCUAUUUGAUUUUGAUGAGCUCAAAGCAUUUGAGUAUAUCUUAUGUUAUACUAAUGAAUUCAAUCUAGUGUUUCAGCCAAAUAUUUGUGAAUUUAUGUUUAAUUAUCUCUAGCUUUGGUUCAAUACAUUUUGGCUAAGUAUGGAACUCAGUUUGAACCAAAGUCUGGAACUAGAGUCGACUCCGGAAGAUUUCGAGUCGACUCCAAGUGUUUCAGACGUUCUGGCACAGACUCGAGUCGACUCCGACUGAGAACAAACAGCAGGACAGAAAGAUGAAUCUCAGACCCUAUCACCGAGUCGACUCCUGAAGAAUUCGAGUCGACUCCGAUGCUUGCCGAGUCGUCUCUAGUAAAGUGCGAGUCGACUCCAAGGAGUAACAGACAGAUUGACAGAGAAGUUGUUUUGGACUCUGAGAGCCGAAUCGACUCCAGAAGAACUCGAGUCGACUCCAGAAGAACUCGAGUCGACUCCGACGGUUGGCGAGUCGACUCCUAAAGAAGCAAGAGUCGACUCUCAGAGGAAUGCAAGACUAAAAGUCAGAGAGCCAACUUCGGUGUCUGAGAGCCGAGUCGACUCCAGCAAAGUCCGAGUCGACUCCGAGGCAGUUCAACUCCAAAGACAGAAGACCAGUUUUUCGGUGUCUGAGAGCCGAGUCGACUCCAGUAAAGUCCGAGUCGACUCCGAGGCAGUUCAACUCCAAAGACAGAAGACCAGUUUUUCUGGCUCUGAGAGCCGAGUCGACUCCAAGAGAAUCCGAGUCGACUCGAGGAAGUAAACCCGAAAGAAAGAUCUUUGGAUUCCUGAAGAACGAGUCGUCUCCAGAAGGGAGAAUCAUCUCCGGACAUUGGCGAGUCGACUCCAGGUUUAGCCAAGUCGACUCCAGAACGGGACAGCACUUUAUUUCAAAUUUUGAACAGUGGGCGAGUCGUCUCCAGUAAAGCAUGAGUCGACUCCAGCAACAGCCGAGUCGACUCCAGAUCGAGCGAGUCGACUCCAAUCCCAACGGACACUUUGUCAGGAGUUGCAGAUUGUGCAGAACGGCUCUAAAAGUGUGUCUAAUGGCUAGUUUUCGAUGGGGAUUGCUUAAAUAGCCAGAGUGAACAGUAAUAGAGCAAGAAAGAGAGACUCCAUUCAAAGCAAAAGGGANNNNNNNNNNNNNNNNNNNNNNNNNNNNNNNNNNNNNNNNNNNNNNNNNNNNNNNNNNNNNNNNNNNNNNNNNNNNNNNNNNNNNNNNNNNNNNNNNNNNNNNNNNNNNNNNNNNNNNNNNNNNNNNNNNNNNNNNNNNNNNNNNNNNNNNNNNNNNNNNNNNNNNNNNNNNNNNNNNNNNNNNNNNNNNNNNNNNNNNNNNNNNNNNNNNNNNNNNNNNNNNNNNNNNNNNNNNNNNNNNNNNNNNNNNNNNNNNNNNNNNNNNNNNNNNNNNNNNNNNNNNNNNNNNNNNNNNNNNNNNNNNNNNNNNNNNNNNNNNNNNNNNNNNNNNNNNNNNNNNNNNNNNNNNNNNNNNNNNNNNNNNNNNNNNNNNNNNNNNNNNNNNNNNNNNNNNNNNNNNNNNNNNNNNNNNNNNNNNNNNNNNNNNNNNNNNNNNNNNNNNNNNNNNNNNNNNNNNNNNNNNNNNNNNNNNNNNNNNNNNNNNNNNNNNNNNNNNNNNNNNNNNNNNNNNNNNNNNNNNNNNNNNNNNNNNNNNNNNNNNNNNNNNNNNNNNNNNNNNNNNNNNNNNNNNNNNNNNNNNNNNNNNNNNNNNNNNNNNNNNNNNNNNNNNNNNNNNNNNNNNNNNNNNNNNNNNNNNNACUCAUUAAGUUUUUAAUUUGCAAUUAUUACUUAAAAUCCAAUUCACCCCCCCUCUUGGGUUGUCUUCUUGGGCAACAGGUUGGUCAACUGCUCGGGUACCGGAGCGGUUCAAGGUCUCUAAACUGGGUCAACUUGGAUUUGGGUAACAAGAUUAGGGCUUGAUGGGGGGCAAAAUAGAUCGUCCUACUCAGGGCAAGGGAUCAUCCCAUCCCGGCCGAGCAGACGCCGACACCAACCAGGCAGGACCUCGGUCCCACUCAGAACCAGCCUAAUCUUGGACUCCGCCGAAGGCUCAAUUGACCUCGGCCGGAUCUCUCCGCUGCUACGACCUGCAGCAACCUCUUCUGAUGCUUAUAAUGAUGUUCUGGGCCCGAGCUCGGAAUGCCCUAUUGUGUCAGCUGCGAGUCCAAGAGCUUCUUCAACUGCAGGACUACUUGCUGAUGCGCCCCUUAUAUUCGCCUUUACAUUCGCCGACAUGCCUCAACUCAAGCUCGGGGCGUUUUUACAUUCGCGGACAUGCCCCGACUCGAGCUCGAGGUGCCCUUUAUUGUCGCCAAUGCGCCCCAACCGAGCUCGGGGCGCCUCUUAUAUUCGCCGAUGCGCCCUAGCUGAGUCGGGGUGCCUUUAUAUUCGCCGACAUGCCCCAAUCCAAGCUCGGGGCGCCCUUAAUAUUCAACGAUAAGCCUCGGCCAAGUUCGGGGCGCCUCAUCUAACAACGUGCCCCGACCCUUGAGCUCAGGGCGCUCUAUCGAGCAAACCUCGAAAUCGGAGAAGCUAGGCCGACCUUAGCACCCGCCAAGCCGACCUCGCCGAGUACACGAUGCGACCCCUCAUCGAGCUUGGCCUCGCCCACGACCGUAUCUACAUGUGUGCCCACGCUUGCCUACGUGGCCGUGCAUUACAACAUCACCGUGCCAUGCUUUGCUUGCUGGCCAACAACAGUCAAGGACAACGCCAUGUUGCUCCAGCCAUACCCCGUCACACCCAUCGUCUUACCGUUCAUAGGAACAACCUACGCCAUGCGCGUCAAGCAAGCUCUAGCUGCACGCCAUCUGUCUAAAAUCCAUCUCCUCCCAUGAUGAGGACGGGCCAUACCUCUGCCACUUGGACACCUCUACGAGGACUAUAAAUAGCCUCAUCAUGUAACACUACAGGAAUUUUUGGACCAACUAAGAUCCACCCUAACUUGAGCGUUGGAGGACCCUCACUGGAACUACUGGUGAGGCUUUGUGCAGGCACACCAUCGCGCAGAAAGUGGCUCUCUCUUUUACUCCAGCCGGCAGCUCCCUCGACUCUCCCGGUGUGGUCACCCUCGAGCUAAAUUUGAACAAUAUUUGGCGCUAGAGGAAGGGCCUAAGUCGUGAUCAUGAGGUUAAGGAGUUACAGAGCUCCAAAUGCAUCAAGUAGCUGGGUACCAACACCCGGCAACUUGCUUCAAAGUCCACCCCCUGCAGCUCCUGCACCAGCGGACCAGAUUUCUCAGGUCUAGCCAGAGCAGUUUGAUCUGCUCCUUCAGCAGGCCCAAACAUUGACUGCGGCCGUCCAAGGCCUGCAGCGAGGCGGGGUCCAGUCUGCACCCCCUUUUCGCGGACGUAAGUCCAUUGGACGUCACCCGCGGCGUUGUUCUCCUGCUAGGCAACGCACGAUGAACGACGAAAGGGAGCCUCGCCACCAUUGAAGCUUCCAUCGAGCUUGAUCCCCAAGCCAAGUGGCUCGUCGCGCAGCCACCGCCUUGAGAGCCUGCAUUGAAGCCCAACACCCCGAUCACAGGAGCAACUAUCAGCGACAGGGUCCGCCCCAUGACGGGAUGCCUGUAGCAUCGACCAAGAGCCGGAGAGGCCCCGUCAACCACAUGCAACGACACCCCCCCAAGCUCAACAGAAAAAUCGAGGAGUUGGAGCGACAAAUUCAAAUGCUUCGAGAACAAGCUCCGAAGUGCGACGUCGACGUUGACUUCAUAACCGAGUCUCCGUUUUCGUUUCCUCGACGAGGAGCUGAUGAGCCAAUCUCCCAAAGGUUCAAGAUGCUGCAAUAGAGCCAUAUGACGGCUCAUCCGAUCCUUUGGAUCAUCUGGAGAGCUACAAGGCUCUUAUGACACUCCAAGGGGCUACAGACGUCCUACUUUGCAGGGCCUUUCCAGCAACUCUUCGCAAGGUAGCUCACCUUUGAUUCUCUGGGUUGAAGCCCAGCUCAUUCCUUUCCUUCGAGUAGCUAGGCAGGCAGCUUGCCACCCACUUUGCUGCCAGCCGGCGUCAGUGUCGGAUCUCAGACUCCCUCUUCGCCAUCAAGCAGAGAAAAAGAGAAUCCCUGAAAGGCUAUAUCGAUUGCUUUACCUUGGCCACAUAGGAGGUUCGCGAUCUCGACCAGUCCAUCGCCAUGUUGGCGUUGAAGACUGGAGCUUGGUCCUACAAGUUCCACUUCUCCAUCGAGAAAAGCUUCCCUGCCGACUUUGCAGAAGUGUUGGCUUGAGCUCGAAAGUACGCCAAGGCUGAGGAAUCCAUGGCCUCUCGGCGCGAGGCAGCCAAGCGGCCUACUAAAAUGCAGAAGAAGCGCCACGAGGAACGCUUCCGCCCAAGGAUCAGAUCCCCCAGCGCGAGAAGAAUCCUCCUCGGCUUAGGAGCCCGGUUCGCUCGAGGUCUCCUUCCCAAAAUCUCAAUAAAUACACUCCCGUUCUUCAAGAUCCUCAAGAAGCCAAAGGAUUUUGUAUGGUCCGAGGAGUGCCAGCAAGCCUUUGAAGAGCUCGGACGCUAUCUUACCUCUCCUCCUCUGCUUACAAAGCCCUAGUGUGGGGAGGUUCUCUACCUGUAUCUUACAGUCUCUCCAACCGCAAUGAGCUCGGUACUAGUCCGAGAAGAAGACAAAUGCCAGAAGCCCAUAUUCUAUACUAACCGAAUCCUGCGAGAUGCGGAGACUAGAUAUUCCAAGUUAGAGAAAACAACCUACGCACUCGUCACCUCGGCCCGUAGGCUUCGACCAUACUUUCAGGCGCACACUAUAGCAGUGCUGACCGACCAACCUAUACGGCAAAUUUUGCAGCGGUCAUCGAGCUGGAAGGAUUGCAAAAUGGGCAGUUGAGCUCAAAAAAUUUGAUCUUGGGUACCGCCCUAGUCCGGCGAUUAAAGCUCAAGCGCUCGCCGACUUCUUGGUGGAGUCCACCUUGCCGGACGACCCUCAAACCGAGCUCAACCGAGAAGAAAAAGAUGCUCCCGAACGGCCAUGGAUCCUAAUAUCGACAGCUCCUCGACUUCGGGGGGCAGCACAUUCCACUUUAGCCCAUAAAGGAGUUAGGCUGGGAAUGUUUUAUAUAUGAGCUUCCAAGGAAUGUUUGUUUUUUUUUUGGUGCAACGGCGGCUCACACACUACGGGUGUGAAUGCAGCUAACAAAAUCAAAAAAUAGAACACUACGUAAUGGCUCUGGAGCUUUAGAUAGAUAAUCUUCUUUUGAGAGUAGCUAAAGGCUUUCUUCUUUGAUUUUUAAAAUUAAUGAAUUAAACUCAAAGCAAUAGAUUAAUCAACUUUAUAGUCAACUAUUUUGCAUAAUCAAAAUAAAUCCUUUAGGGUCAAUAGGUUGUGCCUUUGGAGACUUCAUGAUAACAGGUUAUUUUCUUUUUAUAGAUGAGACCUCCUAUAAUGGGAUCUUUGAUCCUUCCUCUAGCUCAAAUCUGUUGCCGCUAAGGCCCGGCCUGUCUCGGGCGCUAAGUGGGAGAGGUGCUGGAGGGCUCGGCCAUAUGCUACUUGUGUCGUGCAAGGCUUCGACUCAAGGUGGAUGGUUGUAAUCAUGAUCCUAAUCCGCAAUCGAGCUCCGACCUAAAACAACAAAGAUAAUGAAGUCUUCUUGCUAGAGUGUGUUCAACGUGGGACCUUUCAAUGCCUAAGUCAGAACGAUACUCAGGGAACAAAGGAGGUUGUCAGCAGUCUAUCAGGGCACCUGAGCACUUACUUAGAUGAUCCCUCGGAGUGUGGAUUGUAUAGGCGAAGGCAAGAGCCUGUCGCCCUAGAAUUCGGGCACGUCGGUUGGCCAGGUUUGGCAAGCCUCUGCAAGUUCCGAGAAUAAGGUGCGAGUGUUUCGCACGCGGAUCAUGUCUUCCCUUUUGCCUUGCAUGAUCUUAAAGGCUGCUCGAGAUUUUAGCCGACGUGUCGCUAGCUGUAGGGAGUCUUUGAAAUUUGAAUUCAGCCGUGCACUUCUAAGCAUGCCACAUGGCGGGCUCUAGUUGGCAGUCUGUAGGCUUUGUGGUGAGCUUUGGUUGGCCGGCCUUUCAUAUGAGUCGUGAUCGGUUCCGAGGCAUCUCUGGUGCUAAAGGAUAGUAGCAUUCAAGCAUAUUCUUCUCCAAAUAUUGGAACAUCCACAAGGUAUAUUGUAGGUAUUCCAAGAUUUGGGAAAGUGGUACCUAGCACAUUCCACUUUAGCCCAUAAAGGAGUUAGGCUGAGAAUGGCUAGCAAUCCUACACAUAAAUGCCUUUUGCCUGAUGCUUAAAAGUUGAAGACCUAGGUCCCCAUCCGAUCUAGGAAGACACAAUGUUCCAAGGUGCAGCACCUUUCUAUCAACCAAGUGCCCUUGUAGGAAUGCUUUGAAAUACUUUUCCAUUCUAAUCAAAACAGAUUGAGGAACAUUGCAACUUGACAUGAAAUAUAUUGGAAUAGAGGAGAGCACAGAUUGUAGCAAGGUCAUCCUGCCAGCAAAGGACAAAGCCUUCCAUUUCUAAUUGUCAAGUUUGGCAUUAAUUUUUUUCAUUAUCGGAUAAUACUCAGCUGCAAAAAGUUUGCAACCAGAUCAAGACACUCCUAGAUAUGUCCACACCCUUACUUUGACGAGGAUUUGCAAGAUACUUCUGAUUUUUGCUUUAACACACAUAGGAGUGGAGGGACUGAAAGAGAGAUGUGAUUUAGUUAAGUUGACACUUUGCCCAUGGUAGGUACAGUAUAAAUCAAUAAUUCUCUUGAGACACAAGCAAUCUUUUUUUCUUGCCCUAUCCGCCAAUAGACAAUCAUCCGCAAAUGCAAUAUGAAAAAUUAGGCCCCUCUCUACUAAUUUAUAGCUCCUAAGCAUACCUCUUUCAGUAGCUUGUUAAGGAGUCCUUGAAAGCAUUUCAGAACAUAAAAAACAAGAAGGAUGAUAAGGAGCAUCCUUGUCCAAGUCCUAACAUUGAAGAAACUAGCUCGAUGGAGAUCCAUUGACCAAGACAGAGAAUCUGGGAGCAGUAAUGCAAGCCUUAAUCCAAAAGAUCAAUCUGUCAUGAAUGCCAAAAUAAGUGAAGACGGCAAAUAAAUAAUCACAUUUAACUCUAUAAACCCUUUCCAUGUCUACCUUAAGUACCAUUAACCUUUUCCUAGUAUAAGCCUUCUCCAAUGAAUGCAUUAUUUCCUAUGCUGAUAAAAUAUUAUCAGAAUCUGGGAGCAGUAACGCAAGCCUUAAUCCAAAAAAGAUCAAUCUGUCAUGAAAGCCAAAAUGAGAGAGGAUUGCAAAUAAACAAUCUCAUUUAACUCUAUCAUAAACCCUUUCCAUGUACCAUCAACCUUUUCCUAGUAUAAGCCUUCUCUAAUGAAUGCAUUAUUUCCUAGGCUAAUAAAAUAUUAUCAGAAAUAUUGAGAUCAUGAGCAAAGGCUCCUUGAGCAUCAGGUAUCAAGGAUGGAAUGAUUGAUUUCAUUCUAUUUACUAGAUUUUUUUUAGUCACAAUUUUUUUUAGUGGAUAACAAAGAUUAGCUGGUCUGUAAUCAUUCAGUGGCACUGGAUUUUGUUUAUUUGGGAUGAAGGUUUUAAACGUUUCCUUCCACGAAAAAGGCAUAAAAGUAGUUCUGAAAAAAUAUUUAAUAGCAAGGAUUAUCUCAUUUUCUAUGAUAGGUCAAAACUCCUUAAGGAAUAGUAGUUGAAAGCCAUCAGAACUAGGAGCCUUAUCCGAGUGCAUACUUUUUAUUGCAUGCUCAAUCUCCUCCAAUGUAACUGCUGAGAUUAGCCUCCCAUUCUAAUCAUCACUGAUCUUCAAGGAGACUGGACGCAUCCAGAUCUCAUCUAUGCAUUGGUUUACAGUCCCUUUUUUGCUGAAAUCAUACAUAAGGGUCCGUCUAAUCUCAUCAUCUUCUUCCACCAUUUGUCCAUCAAGUGCUCUUAUCGUUGUCAUUCUAUUCCUUCAAUUUCGCAGAAUGGUAUACCAAUUGAAGAAUUGAGCGUUGGGAUCACCAUCUUCGAGCCACUGGAUUCUAGAUUUUUGCCUCCAAAAAAAUUUCCUGCAUGCAAAAAUUCUUGUUUUAUAGCCGAAGUAAUUUCAAUAAUUUCAUGUGCUCCUAAUGAUUAAGACCCCUAUUUUGAGCAACCUCAAUAUAUAGAUCAAGGAUUUCAUUAUUAUCACUCCCUUCUUGAAAAUUUUGCCAAUAUAUUCUCUGUCCCAUCUCUUGAGGGCUUCUGUGGCGUUCUUGAGCAACAAAGGUACCUCGAUACAUGGAGAAGAAUUGCCACAGCAUAUCCAAGCUUGUCAGACUACUUGUAUUUCUUUGCAAGAUGACUAGAAUUUUUCAAAAUGAAAAAGAUUAGUAUUAUUAAGAAACUUAUCCAUGGCAAUAAGUAAAAUAGACUAGCGAUCAGAUGCAUAACAAGCCAAAUGAUGCAACUUAGAUUCAGGAAAGAGGUCCCUUCACUUGCUUGAGGCAAACACUCGAUCUUUCCCAAACAUGAGCAAGACCCAUUCUAUUGUUGCACUAGGUGUAAUUAGGACCCUCAAAAUCCAGUUCAGUUAGACCAUUGGAUUGAAGGAAUUUUUAAAAUUCUGUAACAUUUCUGUGAAUAUGAAAGGCCUUGCCCCCUUUUUGUCAUUAGCACAUGUAUUACCAUUAAAUUCUCUAGUUAGAGCCAUAGGUAUACCCAUAGCAAGUUCAUUAAAGGUAUCUUCCCAUAUUAUCCUCUUUUCCACAAUAUUUGUGCUAGCAUACACAAUAAUAAGAAUCCAUGAAGGAUAUAUAGGUUGAGAUAUAUUACCGAAGACUACUUGUUUGUUUGCAUAUAAAGUUUGCAUUACCCAGAUCCUUCCUUCAUAUAACAAUAAUGCCACCAGAUAAAACCUUUGCAGGCACAACAAAGAAAUUCCAUAGAUGAGCAAUGAAUCUCUGAAUUCUAGGGAAAAAAUUCUCAGAGAUUUUUCUUGCAAGAAGGCAAGAAAUAUCAGGACUAUAACUACGAAUUAAAUUUUUAACAUAAUUUAAAAAAGGAAGGCUGAGCCGCUCCCCUACAAGCCCUAUGGAUGAUUAAUAAGUCUACUAAUUUAUUUUAGCUAAUGUGAGCUGCUUCAUAUAUGUCAUUAAUGCCCAAGGAACUUAUUCUAGUUGCAAGAUUGUAAUGAAAUGAGAUAAUAUUUGAAUAUGCAUCGAGUUGUACAUUUCCUCUUUCAACUUUUAUCACUGGAUCUGUGGAGGAAUAUUAUUGCUGCAUGGUUCAUGCAUCCAACAUACCAUUGUUCAGAAGGGAUUAGUUGUUAAUUAUCAUGAGAAACACCUAGAGUUCAUUGCAGAAUCACGCAAUGAAAAUAAAUAGACAACAAUCUGUGUAAAGUUUGAAGAUUUGCAUUCUAGGUAAUAUUCUGAAAUUUGCUAGGUAAUUAUUUUGGUUUGUUAAUACUCCUUGUCAAGUGUUUCAGCCAUUUGUAUUACAUAAUUAAGUCCUGAUCUUUUCUAAGAAAUCCACUUCUUUACUCAAGCGACUCCACUUUCAAGCCUAAACACAGCAAAGAGGUUACCAAGGACGCUUAGUAGGAAUCAGCUGCCACUGUAAUCCAUGUGCCUUGAAAAAUGAAAUUUCAUCGCUAAUCUGUAGUGGAUUAUAAAUAAGAAAAAUUAUAAACCUUGCAUGAGAAUUCAUCUGACCAAAAAAUAUAAGCAAAUAUGACCAGUAACCAACAAUCAUAGAGAUACAUAUAAUAACAAAAUGAUGAAAUACUUCAUGCUAAAGUAGCCUGGUAAGAGCAGCAGAAAACAGCUACAGCUGACCAUAAGACCAUCUAAACAACAAGAGAAACAUCAUGCACCACUAUUCAUUUUUCAGAUUCAGCUUACAGAACCUACCUCUGCCAUAUUUUCCAAUUCUGAGGGCACCCUGGAUCUCUACAGCUGGAGCGCGAUUUCAAACCUAUGUUAAAUCUAUAAACAAUGAUUAAAGAAAAAGAAUGAAGACCUUCUCACUAUCUAGUUAACCAAGCCUUGGAGCCUCCCUAAAACCAAUGCUGAAACUAUUUUGCAACCCUUUCUUGCCAAAGCCAGCAUUUCCUUUUUGCAUCAUUGCAACAAAUUCAUUAUAAUCUAUGCAUCCAUCCUGCAAAAUAAAAAAUAAAAAACAACUAAGAUGAGCACAUCAUUUUCCUUAAUACAGAUUAAAGAUUUCAAUUAAAAUAGAUGUGAGAGUAAAAAAAUUACAUUGUCUUGAUCCACUUCUCUGAUCAUUUCUUCUAGUCGGACAUCUUCUAUACCAAACUCUUCGCAAGCCUGCUGCAGCUCAUCUUGAGUUAUGUAACCACUCCCAUCUUUGUCAAAAUAUGAGAAGGCAGCAAAUAAGUGAUCCUCCCUUUCAAUCUUGUUCAUAUGUAAAGUGGCAGCAAUAAACUCGCCAUAAUCAAUUGUACCACUGUUAUCAACAUCCGCCUGCAAUUUGCAUAGGAGAGAAAUUAUAAAAGAUGACGAGUAGAAUAUUAUACUGGUGCACUCUCUCAGAUAUAAUGAGUAUUUUGAGAAUGAGCAGUGACUAUCCACAGAUGAAACAAAUCAAAUAAAACUCAUUCUCCAUCAAAACUUAGAAGGGCUUACCCAAAAGUGUGACAUUUUACCAUAUGAAGCCAUGGUUUCACUAACUACAAUUGUCCAUAUUUAGAAUGAAUAGACUGUUACUUCCAUGCCUCAUCCUGAGGUAUCUUGGAUGCUAACAUUUAUCCUGUGUCAGUUAUUAUCAAUUGUUAUCACUUCACUAAUAUGGUGUAAUCAGGACAACAGAAUACACAGACCAUGUAUUAAGGUUUAAUUAAACAAUUCUUUUGGGUAAAAUUAUAUUUCCUAUGUUACCUUGAUGUCUCUUUGUUGUUAAAGUAUGGUUUAAAAUGCUUGUUGUAGUUACAACGUUACAUCCAUCAACAUAUACAUAUGCAUCUAACUAAUAAUUAAAUCUAGGGUGCUUAUAUACUUCAAAGUUCAAAAGAUACUUAUAACCACAACCAUCUAGCCUUUUCCCAACCACUUGGGGUUGGCUAGCACAAAAGAUACUUCAACACUAGAAAUCAGGUGCGUCAGUACUAAAAUCAAGUCAUCUUUAGUGUUCAAUAGUAUAUUAUUAACAUCUUGUUUUCAUAUUGAGGAUUCAUGCUAGCAUUAAUAUUGUAGAACAGUAUAUUUGUUCUUUUUGACACACUGAUCCAUGCAUGAUACAUCUAGACACUAAGAAUCUAUAACUCAUUCUGGAGCUUUGAUGAAAGCAGACCAUAUAGGUAAGUUAAGAACAACCCAUAUUUCCAACAAAUCAUCUUCCUUAAUAGCCAAAAUAAAUUAAAUGUGUUUUGUUUAAGCCUGGGAAUGAGUUUCAGGUAGCCGUCCAAGUCUACCUUUAAUCACCAUCUACUUUCAUCAUAAGCAGAUCAAAUUUAGUCUUUGGUAUCAACACUAGCAUUCCUGUGGAUGAAGUAGCUUCACUGCCUCCACUGCCUUCUUCAAGCAUCAACCAUGCUUGGAAAGAAAAGAUGAAGAAUAGACUCCAAGGGAUAUAUAGAAGAGUCAAAAGAUCACAAAUAAGAGAAUCCAGCCUUUUUACGUAUUAACGAGAAUCUUAAUACAUAUUCAAAGCAGGGAUGCUAGACAAAUAUAAAAGUUUCGAUACAAUAAACCAGGUAAUCCCAUUACCAUUUUUGUUUUCUGUUCAGCCUCUUCUUAACGAGAUUUGGCAUACAAAAUACAGAUUUAUGAGCUAUAGUUGGUUACUUCUCACUAGAGAAAAAAAAACAUUAACUAUCAAACAUGCAACAAUUCUAAUUCCAAUGAAUUUAAGUUGACACUUACCGCCUGCAUAAGUGCAUAAAUUUCUGACUCUUUAAGGUUAGCACCCACUCUUUUCAAUCCAGCCUUGAGUUCUUCAAAAGUGAUCUGUCCGCUAUUGUCUGUGUCUAUCAUCUUAAACAUCUCCUUGAGGCCAGCAAUUUCAUCCUCUGAGAGGCUUUCAGCAAUAACCUAUACAAUUUUUUUUAAAAAAAGUGAGAAAAGAGAACAAUGUGAAAUGAUGAUUAUAGCAGAGUGCAUGCGCUACGAAUUAUUAAAAUUUAUGAGGCAUGCUCACUGAAUCAAGUACAUGGAGUAGAAAUUAGAUGUUUAUUGUAAUAAUAAAAGCAGGCGGUAGACAAUGCUAGAUUUUGAAGAUAGGUGUAAACCAUUAAAAAUAGUAAAGCAACAAUGAAAAGGAAACAGAACAUAACAAAUUUUACAUACAUGGUUAGUUGAUAUAAUUACUAGAAGAAAUAGAAUUACUAAGAGGGGGUGCAACAUUUGCAAUUAUCAAGUACAUGUUGCACCACAUAGUGAUUUGAACCAUUGGUGAAGUCGUAAGGCAUAGUAGUCAGUGGAGCAUGUAUGUACUUUUUUAUGAUACAUUUCAUGGAAAUUAUAAAUUUUUAUUAAUACCACCAUAAGUAGUGCCAUAAAUAAUCAUACGUAUUUCUUUUCCGGGACUUGUAUUGCCAAAAAACUUUAAAGAAUAUAGUAAUACAGUAGUGAUGCCCUUAACUAAGAGGUAAAGGUGGCAAAAAGAAUAUAAUGCGGAAACAAUAUGUCAAAUAUAUCAACUAGGCAAGUCAGGCAUAGAUCAGGACUUCAAGUACCCCAUAAGUAAGGCAGGUGGAGUAUAGGUUAACAAGUUUACUCAUACAUUUCAGUAUAGGGGCUGAACUAACUGAUGCAAACUAUUUCCAUGUUUGCAAAACCAGCCAGCUUUUAUGACACUUUAAAACAAUAUAUGAAGCAAAGAGAUAAUUUUCACAGUUUAUGAAGACAUCAAAAAGCAACACAAAGCUCAAACAAGAGAACAUUGACUUCUUCAAAAGUAGGGGGGCAACAUUUGUGUAUAGAUUAUCGAAGUAAUUUGAUGGUGCCAAGAGGGCAUACCGGUCGAUGUCCGGUACAGUUCGGUACUAUACCGAACCGGUAGGGUGUAUUGGUUCACGGACCGCCACCCCCAAUUGUUUUUUGGAGUUUUCAAAAAAAAUAAUUGGUAAUUACUCUUUUUUAACUUUUUCAAUAAAUUUAAGUCUAAUUUGAUAUUUUUUUGAUUUUUUUAUUUUUUUAAAAUUCUGGUUAAACCUAGAUGAUGCAUCUUAUUACUUUAAAAUGAUACAAAUCAUAAAAUGAACAACGUAAAAUAUCUUCAAACCCAGUAAUGAUGUAAAAAUUAAAAAAAAAUUAUAUAAUCAAUUAUAUAUAUUUAAAAUUCAACAUACAUACUGAUACCUAAAAUUGAAUCGAGUGGCGAUACCUCUUGUAGAUAUCCGAAUCAUUAGCAUAGUCAGGAGGCACAUCAGCCUACCUAUCUAACCAAGAGGCGUAGUCUUGUAUGUUCAUUCUAUAAGGAACAUGUACCAAAUUAUAAGCACUCUCGGAUCUCUCGUUGGAGCUCUAGCUCUGAGAAGUGUCCUUUAGUUGAUAAUACGACAGUGGAGGGGCCCAUAUGAAUAUGUCGGCAGCAAACUUCGAUCCAUAAAACGCUCCAGGCUGCGUAGGAUAGUAGCACCAGAAGAUGCCUCAGACACACCAUAUCCAUAUCCAUUUACAUAUAGAUCAUAGGUUGUAUGUGGCUGCGGAUAAUAGGAUCCAAUAUACGACUCGAAACCUGAUACGUCUAUGGAUCCUACUCCACGUGCGAGAUCAUCUGCAGUUGCAUCGUGUCCUUUUGAAUGAUCUUGAAGAGCCCGUCUUUUCUUAUUUUACAAUUUUUGAACUAUUUUUUCAAGCCAACCCUCAAAAAAGAAGGAAAGAAGAUAGGAGAGAGGAAGCACACCUUAGUUAGCCUUGAAUCUUCCUUCUGAUAGCUUAAAUCAGUGUUGUUUGUGGAUUUUUGGAAAAGAAAAAAUGGCGGAGCCGCUUUCAAAUUGCAUUUGGAAGGCCUUCUCGGGCCUUUCGAACGCCAAAAGGCCUUAAGUGGCAGUGGCAAUAAUGCCAUACCCAACUCGGUUUGAAACCGGGUUGACUUGGUGCAAACUGGCCGGUUCGCACCGAGUCGGCACCGAAUUGACCGAUUCCGGUCGGUUCCGGUCGGUAGAGGACCGAUUCUAGCGAUCCAAUAGCAGUUUCGUCCGGAACCGAAUAGGAUUGCCGACCCGAUCCGGUUUCGCACUGAGUAGGCUCAGUAAUGCCUAAACCGGGCUGUUCGGCCCGGUUCGGCAUUCCCUGGUGCCAAGUAUGUCAAGUUUGAGCCAAUAAAAGAUCAAAUAACAACAAAUGAGAUUUCACAAGAAACCUGAAUCUUGAAAUCCUGCCAUUUGCUAAUUUACACCUUGUUACACUCUUUCCUUCUUUCCCAAUGGCAAGGACCUCAUUCUCGCCAGCUCACUCCCACUUCAAGUUUGCUAACACUCUUCCCAUUUCCUUUUCCAAUAUAACAACCUCCAUUCCUUCUGUUAGUUGGCACCAGCACUGCUUAACCUUACACUUUCUAAAGUCCAACUUUCUUAGACAAAGGAGGGGGCAGCGAUGAGAUGAGGAAGGGGUGAAGGUGGAAAGGAGGCAUAGAAUGCAAUAAGCAUACCAAAAUAAGGCAAAGAUGGAGAGAAUGUAGGUUGAGAGGAACAUGCAAUUCUGGAUGUAAAGGUGGAAGAAGGGGAAGGUAGACUGGAGUACAUGACUGCAGCAGAUGUGUAUGAAGAGGUGUGAGGAGAGGAGUGGCCAUAGCCCUGGAAUGAGAAACAUGGAACACUAGAAAUCAAAAUGUUUUUAGGACCCAUUUUUUUCUCGAUUGAGAAAGGAAGGGAAGAUAGUAAAUUACCAACUCCAAAUACUUAGAGAUGCACCACCGAAAACUCAAACCCAGAACAAGCUCCAAGGAGAGGAGGGGGAGUGAUUACUGGGGCAUCACCCAAUUCACAAUGUACGUAGGACUUUAAGCAUCAUUGUGUCCACCAAAUUUCUAUAUCAAUAAUCGUAAGAAAACAUUGAUAAUCCACAAGGAGUAUUUAAUCAAUUUAAGAAGAAAAGGAUUUCAAAAAUGUUUUACUAGAAAAUAUGGGUCUAGACAUGCAUGACAAUGCAUAUUGCCCCUUCUCUAUACAACAUAAAUUUGCAUAAUCAGAUAUUCAUAAAAGGCCCAACAUUUAUUACUUGUUGGUCACAUAUAAGAAUCACUGUUGUUGGUAUAUAUAAUUAUUUUCCAAGAACUGCACAAAUUAACACCGUCUUUAAUUUAUGAGCUUCCUGAAUUCCAGAACUUACUCUGAGAGCCAUCUUCUUAAGCUUGUUCAUUGCAGAGAAUUGCUUCAAGCGAGACAGAACUGCAGAAUCCAGAGGCUUAUCGAGAGCAACACCAUCAACCUGAACCCAAGGAUGGCCUGCAAGAAAGAUGACAGUUUGAAUGAUCUUAGAUCAUAAACUCUGUGACAUGAAUCUAAGCUGAGCAAUCAUAUUUUUCCUCAGAGAGAUAAAAUUCACUUUUAUUUGCAACUUCCAUUUACAACUGUUCAGAAAUUUCAUCAAAAAUUGCAUAAUAUAAUAGAUCAA
rnacentral:lncRNA from 1 species